rnacentral:rRNA from 1 species
CCUACGGGAGGCAGCAGUGAGGAAUAUUGCGCAAUGCCCGCAAGGGUGACGCAGCGACGCCGCGUGGAGGAUGAAGGCCCUAUGGGUCGUAAACUCCUUUUGUGGGGGAAGAAUGUUUCGCUAUAGGCGAACUUGACGGUACCCCAUGAAUAAGCACCGGCUAACUACGUGCCAGCAGCCGCGGUAAUACGUAGGGUGCGAGCGUUGUCCGGAUUCACUGGGUGUAAAGGGUCCGCAGGCGGGUCGGUCAGUCGUUGGUAAAAUCCCAGGCCUUAACUCUGGAACUGCCGACGAUACUGCCGAUCUUGAGUACGGAAGAGGAAGAUGGAAUUCCUGGGGUAGCGGUGAAAUGCGUAGAUAUCAGGAAGAACACCGGUGGCGAGGGCGGUCUUCUGGUCCGUUACUGACGCUCAGGGACGAAAGCGUGGGGAGCAAACAGGAUUAGAUCCCCUUGUAGU